CAUUUUCUGUCAGGGAUGAAGACUUUCACCGGUUCGCUGACCUUCCUCUUCUUCCUGGAGCUCUGAGAACUUUGCUGACUGUACACAAAAUUCAUUCUUUGAAUAUAAUUGCUGCUUUCUUCUUCUUCCCAUC